rnacentral:rRNA from 1 species
UGGCCUACGGGAGGCAGCAGUGAGGAAUAUUGGUCAAUGGGCGGGAGCCUGAACCAGCCAAGUCGCGUGAGGGGCGACGGUCCUAUGGAUUGUAAACCUCUUUUGUUAGGGAACAAAGGCGGGGACGUGUCCCCGGAUGAGUGUACCUGAAGAAAAAGCAUCGGCUAACUCCGUGCCAGCAGCCGCGGUAAUACGGAGGAUGCGAGCGUUAUCCGGAUUUGUUGGGUUUAAAGGGUGCGCAGGCGGUCUGUUAAGUCAGCGGUCAAAGCCCGGGGCUCAACCACGGCC